UAAUACGUAGGGGGCAAGCGUUAUCCGGAUUUACUGGGUGUAAAGGGAGCGUAGACGGCAAGGCAAGUCUGAUGUGAAAACCCAGGGCUUAACCCUGGGACUGCAUUGGAAACUGUCUGGCUCGAGUGCCGGAGAGGUAAGCGGAAUUCCUAGUGUAGCGGUGAAAUGCGUAGAUAUUAGGAAGAACACCAGUGGCGAAGGCGGCUUACUGGACGGUAACUGACGUUGAGGCUCGAAAGCGUGGGGAGCAAACAGG
rnacentral:rRNA from 1 species